rnacentral:rRNA from 4 species
GCGUUGAGCUAACCGAUACUAAUGAACCGUGAGGCUUAACCUUACAACGCCGAAGC